AUAAAAAACAAUUUUUAAAAAAAAAAUUGAAAACCAAUGUUUUAACUUUUAAAUGCGUUAUAUGAAUCUGCAUACGGAACUCCUCUCAUCAAAUUGGUUUGCUCCAAAUUAAUGAUGACACACAAAAAAAGUGCAGCAAUUUCAUCCAACUAUAAAAAUCAUGUUUCCAUUUCUUGUUUUUUCCUUACUAAGCAUUUAUCAAGCCUAAAUAAUGAUUACAUACCAUAAUUUCUGAAUUUUUCUAGAUUCCUAUUAAUUAAUUAGAUGACAGUGCACAAUUCAUUUCCAUGAUUUCCUUUUCACGUUGUUUAUGACAUACUUAAUUCUAAUUUGCUUUGACCUUUUCUACAUGGAACAAACGUGUGUGGCCAAUAAUCAAAAUCCCUGUCCUCUUUUCCUCCAUCAGUAGUAGCUGUGGCAAAUAAAAUUGGUGGCAAGAAAUUAAAAAAAUAUGUUGGAACUUGCUUUGGCUGUGGCAUUCUCCUCAGUGCCUUUAACACUGUAUGUGCCACCAAUACGAAGCUUCACGCUCUUCGUUCAAAGCCUUCAAGGCUUUCUAAGCAACUCCACUCUCUACGCGCUACGCGCCUACCCGCGUCUUCGGCUUGCUGCUUCCAGAAUCUUCAACUUUCUCUUUCUACACCGUAACCCCAAUCGCACCCGUUAGAUCUCUCUCUUUUUUUUGCUGUCUCAUAUUUUCUGGUGUUUUUGGAUCAAUUUGGUCCAUUUUUCUUUUAAUCGGAUUGAGUUAGAUGUAGUGUUUUUGUUUUUCUGGGAUAGAUGCAUUCUGUUUCUGUAUACCUAAUUGAUGUAUAAUCCUGGGUUGUAACUUGUAAGAGCAUCCUUGUUCCCAUUUUAAAGUAGGAUUUCUUUUGUU